AUUGAACGCUGGCGGCAGGCUUAACACAUGCAAGUCGAGCGGGGGGAGGUAGCUUGCUACCUAACCUAGCGGCGGACGGGUGAGUAAUGCUUAGGAAUCUGCCUAUUAGUGGGGGACAACAUUUCGAAAGGGAUGCUAAUACCGCAUACGCCCUAAGGGGGAAAGCAGGGGAUCUUCGGACCUUGCGCUAAUAGAUGAGCCUAAGUCGGAUUAGCUAGUUGGUGGGGUAAAGGCCUACCAAGGCUAAGACGGAAAGCUGGUCUGAGGGGAUGAUCAGCCACACUGGAACUGAGAUACGGUCCAGACUCCUACGGGAGGCAGGAGUGGGGAAUAUUGCGCAAUGGGCGAAAGCCUGACGCAGCAACGCCGUGUGAGUGAUGAAGGUCUUCGGAUCGUAAAGCUCUGUCGACAGGAACGAAGGAUGUUCUUUUAAAUAGAGAGAGCAUUUGACGGUACCUGCAAAGGAAGCACCGGCUAACUCUGUGCCAGCAGCCGCAGUAACAC
rnacentral:rRNA from 1 species